rnacentral:snRNA from 1 species
AUACUUACCUGGCAGGGGAGACACCACGGUCUGGAGGGUGGAUUUCCCAGGGAGAGGCCCGGCCCUUGCACUCCGGGCGGGCUGACCCCUGCGAUUUCCCCCCAUGGGGGAAACUCGACUGCGGAAUUUGUGGUAGUGGGGGGCUGCGUGCGCGCUCUCCCCCG